rnacentral:rRNA from 1 species
ACCUGCACAGGUGCUGCAUGGCUGUCGUCAGCUCGUGUCGUGAGAUGUUGGGUUAAGUCUCGCAACGAGCGCAACCCUUAUCCCUAGUUGCCAUCAGGUAAAGCUGGGAACUCUGGGGAGACUGCCGGUGAUAAACCGGAGGAAGCGGGGAUGACGUCAAGUCCUCAUGGCCCUUACAUCCCGGGCUACACACGUGCUACAAUGGCAGGUACAGAGGGCUGCGAAGCCGCGAGGUGGAGCAAAUCGCAGAAAAUCGCUCUCAGUUCGGAUUGGAGUCUGAAACCCGACUCCAUGAAGGUGGAAUCGCUAGUAAUCGCGCAUCAGCAUGGCGCGGUGAAUACGUUCCCGGGCCUU